rnacentral:rRNA from 1 species
GACAGAGGGGGCAAGCGUUGUCCGGAGUUACUGGGCGUAAAGGGCGCGGAGGCGGCCUGCGGCGUCGGCGCUGAAAGCGCCCCGCUUAACGGGGCGAGGCGUGCCGAUACGCGCAGGCUCGAGGCGAGCAGAGGGUGGUGGAAAUCCGGGUGGAGCGGUGAAAUGCGUAGAGAUCCGGAGGAACGCCAGUGGGGAAGCCGGCCACCUGGGCUCGUCCUGACGCUGCGGCGCGAUAGCGUGGGGAGCAAUCCGG